rnacentral:snRNA from 1 species
AUAUGUACCUGGUGCCGGGGCCUCGUUGAUCACCGAGGACCAGCCCCUAUGGCGAGCCGCGGCCAUUGCACUGCGCUCUCAUUGACCCCUGCCACAACGCCAAACUGGGGCAGAUGGGGCAUGCAAAUUGCC